rnacentral:rRNA from 1 species
UUUGAUCCUGGCUCAGAUUGAACGCUGGCGGCAGGCCUAACACAUGCAAGUCGAGCGGAAACGACUUAACUGAACCUUCGGGGAACGUUAAGGGCGUCGAGCGGCGGACGGGUGAGUAAUGCCUAGGAAAUUGCCUUGAUGUGGGGGAUAACCAUUGGAAACGAUGGCUAAUACCGCAUAAUGCCUACGGGCCAAAGAGGGGGACCUUCGGGCCUCUCGCGUCAAGAUAUGCCUAGGUGGGAUUAGCUAGUUGGUGAGGUAAUGGCUCACCAAGGCGACGAUCCCUAGCUGGUCUGAGAGGAUGAUCAGCCACACUGGAACUGAGACACGGUCCAGACUCCUACGGGAGGCAGCAGUGGGGAAUAUUGCACAAUGGGCGAAAGCCUGAUGCAGCCAUGCCGCGUGUAUGAAGAAGGCCUUCGGGUUGUAAAGUACUUUCAGUUGUGAGGAAGGGGGUGUCGUUAAUAGC